UCUUCCCCUGGAUGCACUGCAGGUGUGGCUACUCUGUCAUGUGUUUAUCAGUAGGUGACACAGAGAGAGGCUAUGUCUAAGCUCAGCAUUCUGACCUGUGAACAUCUGAAUGAUUAGCAGCCCAAAAU
ensembl:snoRNA